rnacentral:lncRNA from 1 species
UACCUCCCAAAAAUAAUAUUAUUUCUCCAAGCCCCUGGCCGCCUCCCCCCGACUGCAUCCCCAAGCCCCACUACACCUACCCGAGCCUGAUCUAAAAAUUUUUUUUGAGCUUCGGGUUGGGCUUAGGCCCAAUGAUUUUAGAAAAAACCAAGCUCGGGCCCGAUCCUAGCCCAAGUCUAAGCCCAGCCCAAACCUAUUUGGGCAGGCCCGAACCAUGAGGUUGCUGCAAAGUAAGAAGGCUGCAAACUAAGAGUAGAAAUUUUUUU